rnacentral:rRNA from 1 species
AUUGAACGCUGGCGGCAUGCUUUACACAUGCAAGUCGAACGGCAGCGCGGGCUUCGGCCUGGCGGCGAGUGGCGAACGGGUGAGUAAUACAUCGGAACGUGCCCAGUAGUGGGGGAUAGCUCGGCGAAAGCCGGAUUAAUACCGCAUACGACCUGAGGGUGAAAGCGGGGGAUCUUCGGACCUCGCGCUAUUGGAGCGGCCGAUGGCAGAUUAGCUAGUUGGUGGGGUAAAGGCCUACCAAGGCGACGAUCUGUAGCUGGUCUGAGAGGACGACCAGCCACACUGGGACUGAGACACGGCCCAGACUCCUACGGGAGGCAGCAGUGGGGAAUUUUCGACAAUGGGCGAAAGCCUGAUCCAGCAAUGCCGCGUGUGUGAUGAAGGCCUUCGGGUUGUAAAGCACUUUUGGCGGGAACGAAAAGGACUGUGCCAAUACCACGGUUCGAUGACGGUACCCGAAGAAUAAGCACCGGCUAACUACGUG